rnacentral:lncRNA from 1 species
AAAAUAAUUGUGAAAUGAAUAUGUAUAUGUUUAUGUAAUUGAUCAACUGUCAGGACAAAGGAUAUUAGUACUACCCUAUGAUAGGCGGGACUCACAGAGGCUUUAUGUCUCAUCCCACUCCUUUGUAUUUUUUUUCUUCAGAUAAGCAGAUUAAACGAGACAGGGGUAAGAAGAAACUAAGGAUUGAAGAUGGAAGAUUUUAUUACAUUAGUUUCUUUCGUGUGUUGUUAGAUUAGUCUGAUGAGUAUUUACCGUUGUGUAAUGGAACUUUCUUCUCCUUGUAUCUGAUAUAGAAUUUAAGUACUUGUUUCUUUUGAACAAGCUAUUCUGUAAAUUUUAAUGUAUCCGGAUCUUAAUUAUGUAUAUUCUUGUCAAUAUUCUAGACAUUUGACUUGGAGUAUUACA